ACUCCUACGGGAGGCAGCAGUGGGGAAUCUUGCGCAAUGCGCGAAAGCGUGACGCAGCAACGCCGCGUGUGGGAAGACGGCCUUCGGGUUGUAAACCACUUUCAGUUGGGACGAAGGGUGGUCUGUUAAUAGCGGUUCUACUUGACGGUACCUUCACAAGAAGCCCCGGCUAACUACGUGCCAGCAGCCGCGGUAAUACGUAGGGGGCAAGCGUUGUCCGGAAUCAUUGGGCGUAAAGCGCGUGUAGGCGGGUCGGUAAGUCUGCUCUGAAAGUCCAAGGCUCAACCUUGGGAUGCGGGUGGAUACUGCCGACCUCGAGUCCGGAAGAGGCGAGUGGAAUUCCUGGUGUAGCGGUGAAAUGCGCAGAUAUCAGGAGGAACACCAAUGGCGAAGGCAGCUCGCUGGGAUGUGACUGACGCUGAGACGCGAAAGCGUGGGGAGCAAACAGGAUUAGAUACCCUGGUAGUCCACGCCGUAAACGAUGGGCACUA
rnacentral:rRNA from 1 species